AUUUUAAAAAUAUCAAGGGGCUGUUUGGGGGUUAUUCUAUAUUUAUACUAAUCACCCAAAUACUCAUGUCUAUAGAGCUUUUAACAAUUGGAAUUUCUUACAAUGAAUUAUAAUAUCUUUGAUUAGCAUACAAAGAUAAAUUUAUAUUUGCUAAAUUAUUCUCAUUAAGGCAAAUGUUGAAAUAAUUAUCAGGGUUUCGAACAAUGAAUUACAAGCUCCUUAGCAGAGCAAAAUAUAUGUGAAUUUACUGGACAAGUCUUAUGAAGACAAGUACUGAAACUAACAAGCUAUUAAAGCUAAAGUUAAGUUGGUCAGAAAAUUCAUGUAACCAAAUCAUUUGAAACCUGAGUUUUGUGGUUAAAAAGCAGGCUUUCUGUUAAUUUAAUUUAACUUAAUUUCUGUUGAGUCUUCUGUUUUAUAAAAUAUGAAAUAGCAGCCCCUUAGUAAAAAUAAAGUAUAGAAAUCAUAAGAAAGAUCUACUAUAAAAAAGGCUAUUAAGUAGAUUAUUGAUAAAUCAGAACUAUUACUUGAUUAGUUUGUUCUCUUCUUUGUGAAUUACAGCAGGAAAUAGUAUUUUAAAAGCAUAUUAGUAUACUUCUAUCCAUUCUUCAAAAUCUGGGUUAAAAAUGUUUCUUGUGAUAUCACUGCUGAAGAAAAUAUCACUUUGAAAUAUUACUUUUUUAAAGUUCAGUUUCUGAGUCCUACUUUUAAUACUUGAAGACACAAUGACAAUUUUAAAUUUUUUAUUUAUAUAUUUUCUAGUAUAUUAGGAUGAGUAAGAAUUAAUUAAAAUAUUAGAGGCUGUAGGGUCUAAAAUAGUUAUUAAGGACAAUAUGGAAAGACCAUCUUUCAGAAGGCUGAAAUUGAAAAGGAAGCAAUUCCAGCUGUGCAGUUGGAGAGUAAAUGGCCUGUGAAGUAACUGAACCAAGUUCCUCAACAUCUUAAGGUGAGGGCAUUUUCAAAUUGUGAAAAAUCCUUAUUAUGAAAUUAGAGUUUUAUUACAUGAAUCUUUUGAUCAGUUGUCAUCUUGGGAAGACUAACUUCAAUAAUUGGUCUGGAGAGAGGAUGGGGCAAAAACUUACAUGGGGAAUUCUAUAGCCUCUGUGUGAGGAAGAGGUUAGAGAUAAAAAUGGUGUUUUUACUUAAAAAAAAAAAAAAAAGAAAAAGAAAGGAGCAACAUGCAUGUUCAGUCCUGAUUGCUUUCUGGAUCUUGCUAAAGCUGCUAGAACAUUUCCUGUGUUAUCGAUUUUGUAUAUUACCUCAGUUCACCUCUGCUGACAGCAGUUGGUUUAGCUGCACUGGGAUUCAUCCAAUAUUCCCAACCGUGAUGUUAAUUCUAUGGCAAAGUAAAUAAAAGCUCUGUUCUGACGUCAUAAUCGCUGAGUUGGAACCUGGCUUUGCCACAGGCAUGCCUUCACAGAAGUCACUUAACUAAGUCUAGGUUCCUCAUCUGUGAACUGAGAAAACUAAAAGCACUGAUUCCAUGGGGUGCUUAGGAAGAAGUCACCCAUGACUAUCUGGAACAACAUUGUGGGGAAGGCCAAGUUUCUGGUCACUCUCCAUCUUUUCCGCCAGUGCCCAACUGACUGAUCUUUACAGAUGGUGUCAACAGAUGCAUCUACCCUCUGGCUUCAAGUUGAGUUGGCCAAUGAAGGGAGGCGCUGCGGAAAGUACAUGACAUUUGCAGUUGUGGGCGACUGUGCUGUGGGAUGAAACCAGGCUCCUCAUCAAGAUGAACAUAGAUUCAAGUCUCCAUCUUAGCCAUUUCCUAGUUCUGUGAUUAUAAAUAAACUCCUUGACUUUUCUGAG
rnacentral:lncRNA from 1 species